UUCAGAUCAACUAAUAUCCAGAACCUCCUAGAGAAAGAGAGAGAAGAGAGAGAGAAAAAAAAAACCAAGAUUUGAUCAAAAUCUGAGCUCCGAAUCUCAAAGCUCGUGAAGAGGAAAGUGUAGUACGAGUUGUCAUCGUCAUCUUAAGCUAAAUAUUGACCUUGGGGAAGGAUACUUUCGUGGUUGAGCUACUGCUAAGGUAUAUAUGCUCUUGUACAAGCUAAGAGGAAUUAUUUGACGAAGUGGACUUUGGUUGGUCUAUGGCGUAGAUGAUUUGAACUCCUCGAGUUGUGGUAGAACUUGUUGUGUGGUAAAACGCCGAGGUAAUGUGCGAGAUGAGGUAUGAAGAUGGCCACUGAGUAUACUUUUGGGAGCCUUAGUGAAGAUCACAUGUGCAUAUGUAUUUAGUUUUUGUAAACUUUUUGGGGACUUGUACAUGAUACAGGUGUGGCACUUAUGUAUGAAAUUUUGGAAGCUUGUGGAAAACAAGACCAUGUGCUUGUAACUUAAACUUGGUGA